UUCACUACGAAGUAGAUAAGACGAGCGUUUGAGCUUAAAAAGUAUAUAAAUUGUCAAUAUGUUUCGAAAACGACUGAUCGUUUAAGACCCUUCUUUCUCUUUUAAAGCCAGUUCAAGUUGCAUUUAAACUGCAUUUUGGAAAUUCAAACUUGGAGGCACCAUUAAAGUCCACUAUAUGGAAAUAAUUCCUGAAAUGUUUUCCUCAAGAAACAUAAUUUUUUAUCGACUGAAGAAAGAAAAACAUUAACAUCUUGGAUGACAAGGCAGUGAAGCUGGAUCACGAAUGAUUUGCGCGAACUUAGACGGAUAUAUGUACAUCGGGAGGCGCAUUCCCUUCACAAACAAACGUAAUCCACUGCAUCUUCAGCAGCUCGGAUGUCGGGAGUAAAUGACGACCACUAUGUUCAUUAUUACAUCCAGCAACACAACACCUCAAUCACUCAAUCGGAGAUAUUCUUGUCAUCAGAACAACAGAGGUCGGACUGAGACAGCUGAUCUGAGGAGAUGUCAACACAGUUUUUUUCCCAGUGGUACGUCAAAACUAAUCUAUACAGACUAUAUGUAGAUAGGACAGCUCAGCUGUUUUCUGUACCUUGGCCUUUGACUUGAAAAAGGAG